rnacentral:sRNA from 1 species
UAAAGCUCUUCAUAACUUAUCUUCUCAAAAAACAUCCCCACAGUAGUAGAAUCAGAUGGAUUAGUAUACUACCACUAACAUCGUUCUUCUUCUUGAACCAAGACAAAGAAGCCACAAUUAUGAAUAAAAAAA